AUGAACGCUAGCGGCAGGCUUAAUCAUGCAAGGUUGAGGGGCAGCAUGAUAUACGCGAGUAUAUUGAUGGCGACCGGCGGACGGGUGAGUAAUAGGUAAGGAGACCUACCUCAGUACAGGGGGAUAGCAUAGAGAAAUCUGUGGUAAUACCCCAUGAGGUUAUAUGAAUAGAGGCAUAUAAUCAAAGCAUAAGUGAUUAUGCGGUAUGAGAGGGGCCUACUGACCAUUAGCUAGUUGGUGAGGUAAGGGCUCACCAAGGCGAAGAUGGUUAGGGGUUUUGAGAGAGAGACCCCCCCACAUUGGAACUGAGAGACGGUCCAGACUCCUACGGGAGGCAGCAGUAGGGAAUAUUGGGCAAUGGGCGAAAGCCUGACCCAGCCAUGCCGCGUGAAGGAAGACGGCCUUAUGGGUUGUAAACUUCUUUACUACGCGAAUAGAGGUUAGUACGAGAUACUAAUAGGAAGGUAGUGUAGUAAAAAGCACCGGCUAACUCCGUG
rnacentral:rRNA from 1 species